AUCAUCUUCUCCCUCUCCCUGAUCCCUUCGUCGCCCACCCCAGUCGUCCCCUCGCACCCCCACCAGGCCGAUAGUUUCUCAUUGCUCCACCCCAUCCCCACCUCCACGGUUGCAUCCUCUUUCAUCCCCGUCCUCUCCCGUCCUCAAUACCAUGGCCUCGGGCUGCUGCUACAUAUCUGGCUCGCGCAGAUCCACACGAAGCUCAACCCCGAUGUAGGCCUCGUCCGACCGGGGUGACCGUGGGGUGGCCGGUCUACCACAAUUUCUCCCUGGAGGCCACAGUGUACCCUAGUCGCCACUGGGUGCGUUGUGUGUGCGUGCUGACAUAGCGGCGGCAGUGGCAAUCGAGUGCUCCGGCGUGUCUACAAGGUAUCAAGUCGAGAUAAACUGCACAUGUUCGUCAACUGGCUGCACAUGUGACGUUCUAUCAAGAUCUAAUUCAGUUAGUUCUCUACCAAAUCUAAUUCAGUUUAGAUUUUCUAACAGUUUGGUGUACCUCUGUUCUCUAAAUCAAUCAAUAUAAUAAGUGUUCAAUA